AAGUCGUAACAAGGUUUCCGUAGGUGAACCUGCGGAAGGAUCAUUAACACAAUUUUACUGUGAUAAAUCCGUUGAAUUCUCACGAAUUCAAUGGUAUCCACCCCAUUAUUGACGAACUUUUCUAGAUGUUUUCAAAAACAUAGAGCUUAGUCUUUAGGUUUUUACAACAUUCUAAACCUUUUUCUUUACCCACACACAUUUAAACCCCUUUUACAACAUGUCUUAGACUGAAUGAAAAAUUUCUAUCAAAAAAUUGAUAAAAACAACUUUUAACAACGGAUAUCUUGGCUCUC
rnacentral:misc_RNA from 1 species